rnacentral:rRNA from 1 species
UACGGGGGGGGCAAGCGUUGUUCGGAAUUACUGGGCGUAAAGGGCUCGUAGGCGGCCAACUAAGUCAGACGUGAAAUCCCUCGGCUUAACCGGGGAACUGCAUCUGAUACUGGAUGGCUUGAGUUCGGGAGAGGGAUGCGGAAUUCCAGGUGUAGCGGUGAAAUGCGUAGAUAUCUGGAGGAACACCGAUGGCGAAGGCAGCCCCCUGGGCUAACACUGACGCUCAUGCACGAAAGCGUGGGGAGCAAACAGG